rnacentral:rRNA from 1 species
CCUACGGGUGGCAGCAGUGAGGAAUAUUGGUCAAUGGGCGAGAGCCUGAACCAGCCAAGUCGCGUGAGGGAGUACUGCCCUAUGGGUUGUAAACCUCUUUUGUCGGGGAGCAAAAGCCGGACGUGUCCGGCUGUGAGAGUACCCGAAGAAAAAGCAUCGGCUAACUCCGUGCCAGCAGCCGCGGUAAUACGGAGGAUGCGAGCGUUAUCCGGAUUUAUUGGGUUUAAAGGGAGCGUAGAUGGGUUGUUAAGUCAGUUGUGAAAGUUUGCGGCUCAACCGUAAAAUUGCAAUUGAUACUGGCAGUCUUGAGUACAGUUGAGGUAAGCGGAAUUCGUGGUGUAGCGGUGAAAUGCUUAGAUAUCACGAAGAACCCCGAUUGCGAAGGCAGCUUACUAAACUGUGACUGACAUUGAUGCUCGAAAGUGUGGGUAUCAAACAGGAUUAGAUACCCCAGUAGUC